AUUGAACGCUGGCGGCAUGCUUUACACAUGCAAGUCGAACGGUAACAGGCCGCAAGGUGCUGACGAGUGGCGAACGGGUGAGUAAUGCAUCGGAACGUGCCCAGUCGUGGGGGAUAACGCAGCGAAAGCUGUGCUAAUACCGCAUACGAUCUAUGGAUGAAAGCGGGGGACCGUAAGGCCUCGCGCGAUUGGAGCGGCCGAUGUCAGUUUAGGUAGUUGGUGGGGUAAAGGCUCACCAAGCCAACGAUCUGUAGCUGGUCUGAGAGGACGACCAGCCACACUGGGACUGAGACACGGCCCAGACUCCUACGGGAGGCAGCAGUGUGGAAUUUUGGACAAUGGGCGCAAGCCUGAUCCAGCAAUGCCGCGUGCAGGAAGAAGGCCUUCGGGUUGUAAACUGCUUUUGUACGGAACGAAACGGCGAGCUCUAAUACAGUUUGCUAAUGACGGUACCGUAAGAAUAAGCACCGGCUAACUACGUGCCAGCAGCCGCAGUAA
rnacentral:rRNA from 1 species